GGAAAAUUCAGGAAAGGAAAAUGUUGUUUAAGAAGUUGUUUUUAUCAGAAAACCCAGGCUAAGCCCCAAAGGGUUUGCCAUGAAAAGAAAUGGACGGUUUGCAGGAGAGACUUUGACAUCAAAAUAAGCGAACCUAUACAAGCUGUAAAAAUAUGAAGCGAAGGGAACUGUUAUGCAUAUUACUAGAACAAAAGGCAGUGCAUUAUCCGUACGCUUAGCAGUAGUGGUAGAGAGGACAGCUAGUAGGACUGUACAGAUGUGCGAGACAUGUAAAUAUCAGUGGGCCUUUCAGUUUUAUCAGUGCAUGAACAACUUGGAGCUUUUCAUCUGCGCAGCCCCUGAGUUUAGUAUACCCCAUUUUUUCUUUUCUCUCUCCCUUUUUAAAAGUUAGAUGCGUCGGUUUUGUCAGAUAAAUUCUGCUGAACAAUGCUGGGAUUCUGUACAAAAAGGAAUGCAUUUUUUUGGGGAGGUAUAGUUGUUAGUGCACAGGAUGCUAAGGAGCUCAGGUUAAUACGCUGAUCCUGACCCACUUAAGUCUUUUGCCUGCAGAAUGGAAAAACUUUACAUUUUGUAAUGCUCUGAUGGCAAAAUAAACUACUUGAGAGACAUAUGUUGGACAGCUGCUGCGAGUCAGCCCAGCAUGAGGGUGGAGCAGUCUGUGUAUACCCUGCUGGCGACAUAUGGAUGAAAUUCAAGAAUAGAACCAGAACAGGUUGCACUGUGACUGAUGUGUGCAAACAAGCAAGCUCUGCACUGAGAAGGCAAGAAAGCAGCAGGCCAAACACUAAAAGGUUCCAGAGAAGGAACAUUGUGGUCAUGUUCGACAGGCUGGUGUAGAACGUCACACAAUGGUGCUGGAGAUGUUUCAUGGAUUGUCUUCCAGGAGAUGAAGAAGGAACAAGAAAGAAAAUUCUUAGGGCUUGAAAUCAUCACCUGCAUGAAAGAAAAACCCAACAAAGAACUGAAAAGGUUUGGACUGAAAUAUUUACUAAGCUGUAUAUACAAAAUAUACAUACGCUUAUGAAUUAUACAUAUAUGAACUGUGUGUAAUUGUAAGCCAAGGUACAGAUGUUGAUGUUAAUGCAAUAUCCAGAUACGUAUAUUUCAGUGCACGGUAUGAAUACGAAUCACUCAUAUUCACAUAUGUAAUGGAAAAAGAAGCUGUUCUCUGUAGCUCUACAACAUCAUACAAUAGAAAACAUUGUGAUCUUGGAAAAAAGAAUCAUUAGAAUAGGAAAUUAAUAUCAAGAUCCAUUAUGUAAAGUAAAAUAUCUUCAGAAAGUAUGCCACUGGAAAGGUCUUUUUUAUGCCUUUUUCUAAGUUGCAUCAGGUAAGUCCACAUCCAAAUCAGAAAAUGAAACCAGUUCUGCCUGCACUAGAGCUGUUGAUCUGCUGGGAUGAAUACCGUUGGGUUACAUUGUGAGUAAGGAAAGAAAGAAAAUUUAUUGCUGAUGAAACUUCAUUGAUCUCAGUCCUGAAGCAGGUAGGAAUUGUAUGCCAAAAGAAGUGGCUGCAAAGACAAAAACUAAAACUAGUUCUGCAAAUACACUCUUUACCAAAUAUGGUGGAAGUGCAACCAGAAAUUCUCAUAGAGCACAGACAUGCCACAAAGUGCUGGUAAAGCAUACAAAGGUUUGUUUCCUUUUCAGGAGACAUAGCAUUUUCUAAGUGAAUACUAGAAGUGGCAUAGUAUAAGGCAGCCACUACAUCCCUUCAGGGAAGAAAAGUUUCAUAUUCUUUCCUUUCAUUUUUACGAUACAUAAGUGUAUAGGAAAUUAAAAUUUGGUCUAGUGUCCCCUGUAUCACAUUUUCUAUGAGAGCAACACUACUGGGACCAAUAUGCAUAUUUUAACACUAGGCAAAAGUGCAAAUGGCUUUAAAAAGCAAUUAGACAAAAGCAUGGAGCAUAAGGUCAUUAAUGACUGUUAGAUAAAAUGGACAGGGUAAAACAAUAGGUUUAAUCCUUUCUAACUAGUGGUUGCUGGAAGCUGCCUUCUCUGGAAAGUAUGUCAGGAAAGUGUCACACUGAGCCCCAUUUCUCACACUCUUUCUUGAUGUAGCUGUAGUAUAAUGCUGCUGGAGAAAGGAGGUUAGCUAGACAGUGCUGGUCUCCACCACCAUGGCAGACCUUGUGUAUGUAGGAAGAGAUACACGUACUGCAUCCUUACUGCUUCAUGGGGCGUGGCAGGGUCACGAUUCCAAAGUCCCCCCAGGAAAUGCAAUGUUUUUAUAUUUGAUUCAUACUAAGGAGCUGCUAGCUUGUAUUUCAGGAUUUACAUAAUGAAAGCAAGUAAACCUUUGCUGGAAAAGAAUAAGAAAUCUUACAAUGUAAGUCGUGAGAGCAGGCUCUCACCUAGUCACAUAUAAGAAAAUUCCGCUCUCUUUCUCACAAUAAGUGGUACUUUGUUUUGUGAGCAGUGGUGUUUAAAGCCAUAGUGGUGUGUGUGAAAUAGAUUGAAAAUGAGCACAUGCAACAGAUAGGGAAAUCUACUAGAGAAUACAGAAAUUGCAAUGAUAGCUUGGAUGUGAUUGAUUGUGAUGAUAGCAGGAAAUACCUGCUCCCUUUAAAGUGUCUUAAGUAGAGAUGAUAGUAAAGAUGUACUAGUCUUUAUGAGAGGGAGGUUUUUCUUUUGUCUUUUAGAAAGUACAGUUGAGCAGGUACAGGACAUAAGCUAACGGGAAAUGGCUACAAAGUCCAAGCCAAAUGAUUAACUUUGUUCUUGUUUGUUUAUAUUAUACCUCUUGAGGAAAAUUCUGUCAAGACGAGGAAUCAUGCAGGCUUGCUGUAGUUCUUCCAGGCUCUUCCCUACUGCAUGUUAUUCUGGGCUUUGUAAAAGAAAUCAGGAACUCUCCUGUUAAAACUUUUCAGUGACUAGUUUUCUGGUUUAUUGUUAGCUGAUUUUUCUGACACUGAUCUGUAAUGCUGUUCUUCUGUGGAGGAAUUACUGAGGAUGCCUUACUGAGCGCAGAUGAAGGAAAGUUUCCUUAGCAACAGGAGUAACAUGGAAUGCUGAAAAGCUCUCUGGUGACUCUCCUUCUCUCUGUACAACACAAAAGACUUUUUUUUUUUAAAACAUUAUAAAGACUCAGAUACACAACCUGACAAUUGUACCUGCUCAAAUUUUUUCAAGCAAAUGAAGUUAAAAAAGUAGUAAUCCUUCAGGCAUCAUUCAAGUAAUUCUCUUAGUAUGUCCAAUUCCUUCCUUAAUUAAUUUGCAAAAGCCUAUUAGCAUAUAGGAAAAAACAAAAAUAAAACAAACAACAAAAGAAAAAAAAACCCA
rnacentral:lncRNA from 1 species